UACGUAGGAUCCGAGCGUUAUCCGGAUUUAUUGGGCGUAAAGGGAACGCAGGCGGUCUUUUAAGUCUGAUGUGAAAGCCUUCGGCUUAACCGGAGUAGUGCAUUGGAAACUGGGAGACUUGAGUGCAGAAGAGGAGAGUGGAACUCCAUGUGUAGCGGUGAAAUGCGUAGAUAUAUGGAAGAACACCAGUGGCGAAAGCGGCUCUCUGGUCUGUAACUGACGCUGAGGUUCGAAAGCGUGGGUAGCAAACAGG
rnacentral:rRNA from 1 species